UAAAUAACCCAGAAACCCUAAAUCAGAGAAAUAAAUGGUUUUGAAAACAUGGCUUUGAAAGAGAUAUUAAGAAACCAUUUAGAAACUUAGGGAAAAAAUGGAUCUGGAACAGAUCUAAAGAGAUCAGAAAAACCUCAAAAAUAGGGUUUCGGAGGAACCCAAAUGGUUAGAAAGGCCAGGAUCUAAGAAGAAGGGGUCGAAGCCAAGCUCGAAUCAGACGUGGCUUACCGGAGCAAGGCCAGAGAUGACCAUAUAACUUGAAUCAACAAGGCCUGGAUGAGGCUUCUUCAUGGUCACGCCAUGAAAACUCAGCAAACGAGCGUGUAUGCACCAUGAAAUGUUAGUAGGUGGUGAGACCACCAUUGAUUCAGGCUAGGAGAUGGCUAGAGAAGAUGGAUGAGACUCAUCCGAGAGGAGUGAGAGGGGGAAGGUUCUA
rnacentral:lncRNA from 1 species